rnacentral:misc_RNA from 1 species
AAGUCGUAACAAGGUUUCCGUAGGUGAACCUGCGGAAGGAUCAUUAACACUUUUAUCCUUUUAUCCAAACCCCAAUGUGAACUUGCAUUCUACCCCUUUUCAUUUCAAUUCUUCAUUGAAUGGAUUUGUGAAGGGCCCUCAAGUUUUUUCUUCUCUUCUCUCUUUUUCCUUUCCGAAGGUUAAAGGGUUUAGAUGAAGGAGAAACGGUAUUCCUUUUCACUUCUUUAACUCCUAUAAUCAACCUUUAAUGUUGAACUAAAUCCAAUCGCUUCUUUCUUUGUUAGCUUAGCUUAGCUUAGCUUAAUAGAGAGAGAUAGUGAGUUAUCUUACGUAAUGUAUGAACAACUCUUAGCAAUGGAUAUCUUGGUUCUC